ACGACACUCCCUAUAGAAUCUUUCCAUUCCCAAGGGCUCAAUCCACACAUAAAAAGUGGGUACCAAACCCUCUGUAUACCCGUCUCAUUAAUUUUCUUUUAUGACUUCAAAUAAACGUUCAAUAAGUUCAAGUUUUGAACCUUUUGAACCUUACAAAUAUAAUUUCUUUCUCAUUGCGAUUGAAAACCUAAACCUAAAAAGCAACCACCAGUCAUGGCCAUGGUGGCCAGCAGCCAGCCUCCUUGGGGGCUUGGUCAGACGAUAAACAUUGCUUUCAAUUCUGAUUUCCCUACUUUGAAUAACAAACUGUCAAUUUCUAUGCAAGGAAAUGUAGAUACCAAUCCAAAACCUGUGUUAAUGCGAGAUCUUAUGCAAACAACUACCAAAGUGGAUCCUAUUGAGAUUAAACCUCCACUUUCAUUAAUGAGGUGUCAAGAAUACAAUGGACUGAAAAUGAAGUUUCUAGGAUGAACAUAACUGAGAACCUACAAUAUGCUGUUGUAGGAAAAUUCUCGUAUGGAUGGCCAGAGAUUGAGGAACUUCGGAAGAUAAUACCAUCUCAAUGUGGUAUGAAAGAAGAAUGUCAAGUCUGCGUUUUUAGACAUAGGCAUGUACUAAUUCGACUAUCUCUAAUGGAGGACUAUGUGAAUCUAACUUCAAAGGGUUCAUAUUAGCUAAACUCAAAGGAUGUAUUAUCAGAUGAGACCUUAGAUCUAUGAUCCCAAUUUCAAAUUGGAGGAGGUGACCACUAAAGUCAUGGCUUGGAUCUCAUUCUCGGAUUUACUGCCUACAUAUUAUGUGAAGGAAUCAUUGUUUCCACUAGCUGUUGCAAUUGGAAAAACAUUACAUCUUGAUCAUGCAACAAUAAACAAGACACGCCCUAGUUGUUCUAGGGUAAAGGUUUUGGUAGAUCUUAAUUCAGAUUUACUUUUUAAAAAAAAAAAAAAAAAUUAAAGGCCACUAGGCAUAUAUUACCCAGGGCUGUUUUAUUCAUUUAUUCAAAAUAGAAAAUAAAAGGUUUGCUGUCCAAAACAAAACAAAAUGCAAAUAGUUUGAGCUAACUAAAAUUAGAAAGUGCAGGCCAGGUAAGUCGGUGGUUGGGUCGGCCUUGUGUCGAUGUUGUCGCCGGUGGAGCUUCCGUCCCUUCGAUUGCUUCCAUCUUUCUCUUGCUGAAACUCAGGCACAUAUAUCUCUUCUGGCUUUGGAUCCUCCUUCUUGGGCCGGUACUCUGGAUGAACAACCCAACAAUUAUGUAUGUCAUGUCCCUGUAGUUUGCAGUGGGUACAAUAUUUAGACAGAUAAUCAUAUUGUAUUUUUUGCCAUAUAGCCUUUUUUCUCCAGUCUCCUCGUCUACACAACUGAUAUGUAUUCUUUUUGGUUCGUGGGUAAAGCAGGGAAUGAAAGCCAUGCCACUGCAAUUGUAGUUUCCUCGUCCGGGUUAAACCAUGGAUCCCAUAUUAAGCACCUCAAAGGAUAGAUCCUUCCCCUAUAUUGUAUUUCCCACGCACUUGAUGUAAGUGUUGCAUAAUCUUCAAGUAAAGAGAGGCGUAGUAGUAUGUGUCUCUCCUCUAGAAAGCCAAUGUCGCAUCGACCUUUAAUCUCCAAUUAAAUUGGAAGGAUCUUCUUCAAUACUUGUAGAUCUGUUCGACCAUAAGAGAAUUUCGCAA